ensembl:lncRNA HISLA HIF1A stabilizing long noncoding RNA
AGGGCUGUGCAGAAUGUGCUUUGUUAAACAAGUGCUUGAAGGCAGUAUGCUUGGUAAAAGUCAUCGCCAUUCUCUAAUCUUGAGUACCCAGGGACACGAUACACUGCGGAAGGCUGCAGGGACCUCUGCCCAGGAAAGCCAGGGAUCACUCUAAGCUCCAGUGUCAAGGAGUCAAGUCCUUCAGGAAUUCUCUGCCUCCACUCCCUGUGGCAGAGCUAGAGUGGCUGCCAUGCUUCUGAGCUCAGCCAGCAUCCAGAGAGAGAGUGAGAUACAGCCUCCUCUUCUUGAAGCACCCACUUCUAAACUCUGUGACAGUUUUCUUGGAACUCUGUUAUGUGGAUCUGGAGAUGACAAUGUCACAGCACUCCCCUCUAAGCCUAAAUUCCCCCACACCGAUGAACUAUUAGGAUCCAGUAUCUGCCGGAGGAGCCCCACCUUCUGCUACUAUUAUGUUCUUCAGAUGAGUAGAAGAGAGUGGGGAGGGAGAGAGCAGGAAGAAGAAAGGAAGAAUAAUGUCUUGAAAUUGAUGAUGCAUAUCAUAAAUUAUUACUCACCCCAUGUUCCCACCCUCGAGAGACCUCCAAACAAUCACCAUGCCACAGUGAACAUUCAGUAACAAAAAUUCAGCCAGGGUUUUCACCAGCAUGAAUGGCAGUGAUUCCAAUCAGGAAAACAGAAAGAGGAGAGUUCAGAGCCACCUAGAAUGGCUCUUGCAAGAUACGAAAUCAAGGCAGCAGCAACAGGGCUGAACAUUCCUCAUCCCUAACUCUCCCUUCACCAGUAGGAAACCCAGGAUAACUGCAAUCACCGCAGGCCCAUCUGGCCUGAAGUUCUACUACUAGUAGCCCUCCAUGGGACCUUCUUAAGGAAGCAUGUCAACUCAGGUAAGGGAUGUAAGGGGAUGGAUGACCCUUUGAGGCCAAAGUUGGAGCAAAAAACACCAGAUGUUCCUGUGCACUGCUCCUAAGAGAUGGUUCUGAAGACCAGUUCGGGGAGAGGUCAAAAUACUGGACAGAAUCUCAGCAACAUGGAACCUCAAACUAAGUGACAGUCACAGACAACUCUUCCCCAAAGAAAAUAAGCACAGACAUGGUUUGUGGUAAGCAGAAUUAUAAAGAUGAAUUCCCAUCUCCCUGUCAGAUUACCAGUAUGGUAAAUUACCAGAUUACCUGGUUAUUUAUUCAAACACUAAUACAGUUAUUGCCUUGAUGGAAACAUACAGAUACAAUUAAAAUCCCAAGUACCAAAUAAAUUGACCUUAAGACAAAGACUAAGUAAAUCACAUGAGCCCUCUACAAGCAGAGAGUUUUUCUCCAGCUGGUAGCAGAAGCCAGAGAUUUGAAGCAUAGGAAGUAUUCAACACAUUAUUGCUGGCCUGAAAAUGGAAGGGGCCACAUAACGAGGGAAACCGGUGGCCUCUAGAAGCAGGGAGCAGUCCCCUGCUGACAGACAGCAAGCCAAGACCUCAGUUCUACAAUUGCAAGACACUCAAUUCUGCUAAGGACAAAAAUGAGCUUGGAAGUGAACUCUGAGCUUCAGGUGAGAACACGGCCAAACAACACCUUGAUUUCAGCUUAAACAAAGAAUGCAGCCACUCCAUGCCAGAAUUCUGACCUGUAGAAAUUUGAGCUAAUAAAUAGAUGUUUUAAUAGCUUCAUCGAUACAUA